UACAACAUAGCAUUAAUGUACAAGAUCCCAUUAGAACUCCGCAGUUAAGUGCGCUCAGGCUAGAGUUGUACUGGGAUGGGUGACCACUUGGGAAGUCCUAGUAUUUUAC
rnacentral:rRNA from 1 species